GACGAACGCUGGCGGCGUGCCUAAUACAUGCAAGUUGAGCGCUGAAGGUUGGUACUUGUACCGACUGGAUGAGCAGCGAACGGGUGAGUAACGCGUGGGGAAUCUGCCUUUGAGCGGGGGACAACAUUUGGAAACGAAUGCUAAUACCGCAUAAAAACUUUAAACACAAGUUUUAAGUUUGAAAGAUGCAAUUGCAUCACUCAAAGAUGAUCCCGCGUUGUAUUAGCUAGUUGGUGAGGUAAAGGCUCACCAAGGCGAUGAUACAUAGCCGACCUGAGAGGGUGAUCGGCCACAUUGGGACUGAGACACGGCCCAAACUCCUACGGGAGGCAGCAGUAGGGAAUCUUCGGCAAUGGACGAAAGUCUGACCGAGCAACGCCGCGUGAGUGAAGAAGGUUUUCGGAUCGUAAAACUCUGUUGGUAGAGAAGAACAUUGGUGAGAAUGGAAAGCUCAUCAAGUGACGGUAACUACCCAGAAAGGGACGGCUAACUACGUG
rnacentral:rRNA from 1 species